rnacentral:rRNA from 1 species
GACGAACGCUGGCGGCGUGCUUAACACAUGCAAGUCGAACGAAGUGGCGAACGGGUGAGUAACGCGUAAUCAACCUGCCCUUCAGAGGGGGACAACAGUUGGAAACGACUGCUAAUACCGCAUACUGAAGGAGGGGAUUGCGUCUGAUUAGCUAGUUGGAGGGGUAACGGCCCACCAAGGCGAAGAUCAGUAGCCGGGCUGGAGGGAGGAACGGCCAAAUUGGGACUGGGAAACGGCCCAGACUCCUACGGGAGGCAGCAGUGGGGGAUCUUCCGCAAUGGACGGAAGGCUGAAGGAGCAACGCCGCGGGAGUGAAGACGGCCUUCGGGUUGGAAAGCUCUGUUAAUCGGGACGCGGUACCGGAAUAGAAAGCCACGGCUAACUACGUGCCAGCAGCCGCGGUAAUUC